rnacentral:rRNA from 1 species
CCUACGGGAGGCAGCAGUGAGGAAUAUUGGUCAAUGGCCGAGAGGCUGAACCAGCCAAGUCGCGUGAGGGAAGAAUGUCCUAUGGAUUGUAACCCUCUUUUGUCAGGGAGCAAAGUCACCCACGUGUGGGUGUUGGAGAGUACCUGAAGAAAAAGCAUCGGCUAACGCCGUGCCAGCAGCCGCGGUAAUACCGAGGAUGCGAGCGUUAUCCCGAUUUCUUGGGUGUAAGGGGUGCGUGGGCGGGUUAUCAAGGCAGCGGUAAAAUCGUGGAGCUCAACCCCAUCCAGCCGUUGAAACUGAUGACCUUGAGUGGGCACGAAGUAUGCGGAAUGCGUGGUGUAGCGGUGAAAUGCAUAGAUAUCACGAAGAACUCCGAUUGCGAAGGCAGCAUACCGGCGCCCGACUGACGCUGAAGCACGAAAGCGUGGGUAUCGAACAGGAUUAGAUACCCGGGUAGUC